AUGGAGCGCUACUGGCCAACAACCAGUCAUGGAUUAUCAGACAACGUCCUUUCUACAGUAACCAGAACCAGAACCAGAACCAAACCCAGAACCAGACCCAGUGAAGAGUCUGCUACAGCCAAUGUGUCCUUCAAGAAGGAUAUAUCAAAAGAUAUCGCCAAAGGAAAACGCUCUUCUCUCAGGUUGAGGCAGCAGAAAAAAAGACGGUGAGUAUAAUCUGUUAACCUCAUAAAGAUUCUUUCACACAUAAUAUAUUGAUGAAGCUGUGAACAUCAUUAAAACCUCUUUAGUUUAGUUACAUUCAUCUUUUCUGUCACUUGUAUCUGUUGUAUCCACACUGACACUGAAGUUCAAUCAACUUUAUUUUAUUAAAGAUCAACAACAGUAAAUAUUAUAAUAUAUAACCCUCAUAAUGUUCCUGUUGUCCUAGAAUAAUCUAAUAAUAAUUCAUGUUAAAGUGAGAAGUAGAGGAAACUACUUCAAAAAGAGGAGAGAAAUCAUUCAGUGGGAACAGAAUCAACUUUUACUGAACUUUUCUGAUGUCUACUUGGUAGUUUCUGUGUAUCAGCAGUUGCUGGCUGAUGGAUCACAAUCUAAUUUACCACCCUGGUGGUCUUUCUCUCUC
rnacentral:lncRNA from 15 species